rnacentral:rRNA from 1 species
UACAGAGGGUGCGAGCGUUAAUCGGAAUUACUGGGCGUAAAGCGCGCGUAGGCGGCUUUGCAAGUCGGGUGUGAAAUCCCCAGGCUUAACCUGGGAACUGCAUUCGAGACUGCAUUGCUAGAGUAUGGGAGAGGGAAGUGGAAUUUCAGGUGUAGCGGUGAAAUGCGUAGAUAUCUGAAGGAACAUCAGUGGCGAAAGCGAACUUCCUGGACCAAUACUGACGCUCAUGUGCGAAAGCGUGGGGAGCAAACAGG